AAUAUACUGUAAAUCAUGAGGAAAGUACUUCAUUGUGUGACAUACUCAUAUUAUAUACAUGUAUAUUGUAUGAUAUGAUGGGUAUAAGAUAAGAUAAGAUAAUGUAUAUGUAUAACGAAUCAGUUCAUUUUUUUUUUUUUACACACAUGAAUAUAAUGCUUAUGCAAGGUAAUGUGAUUUAAACAUGCAGUCAAGCAUAAAAUUUGGUCACGUUCCCAGUGCAAUGACCUGUAAAUAGUUACAUGUAUCGGACUAGUACGGUCUAGUAUCAGACAUGCUUUCUUUUUUCAAUUUCUGAUCGGGAUCGGAAUUUUGAUAUUACGAAACCAACAGUGGCGGGAAAGUCUUGCUAGCUGAUCAUUUCUGAAUCACUGUGGAUAUAUGAAGGAUUUGAUUGAAUCUUGUACAACAGACAUGGAUGCCAAAGUUCUUUUAACGCAAGAAAGAAGAAAGAAAUUGGUGUUAGGGGAGAAUAUUAUUGAUGGGAAAUAUGAUCGGGCUUCUAGAAAUAAAGUCAACAGAGACAGGGUUAAGAAAAACGCUAAGAAUUCAACUGGUGUGAACGGGACAAAGAAAAAUACUGUAGAUGACGAAGAGGAAACUGACUGGGGUGAGAUGGAUAAAACAGAAGUGAAGAAGAUGGAUAAGAAUACCAAAGGCACAGAAAGUCCUCUGACAAUGGAGGAUGGGAAAUCAGAUGAGAACGAAACAGGAGAGUCAGGGAAGGAAGACACAGGGAGCCACAGCACCCAACAGGGGGCAAACCAAAACAAUAAUGUUAAAACUGAAAUCGACUCCAGACACCCAGCAGUAGUGACAGGCUGUAAAGUCAAAAUAGAGGAUGCUGUGGAUUUCAUGUCUAGUGGUCCAAAGAAAACAAAACCGAAUAAGAGAGGUGUUAAAACUGAAUCAGAGGCAAAGGAGUCCUGCAAGCAUGGAAGGCCAAAGAGAGGCAGGCAGAAUGAAGUUAAAAAAGAAGGUAGUAUGGAAGACACUAAAGACAGUGAUGUCCAAAUGAUCUCAGCACAGACUAGGAAUGGAAAACGAAAUAAAGUUAUGGCAAUAUCGAAUGAUCAGGGGACUCUGCAAGAUGUUGGAGAAGAUACUCUGGAUACUUCUCCCAUCAAGAAAAGAAAAGGAAGACAAAAAAAUGGUAAAGCAGGAACCAAUAAGGCCAACAGUGAGGAGCGUCCAGAGACCACUAAGAAAAGAAGAUUAACUAGGCAGACUAUUGUCAAAUCUGAUACACAAGACGAUGUUAAGGUCACAGUACAAACGCUCGGGAGAAAGAAACGAGGACAGAAUGAAGCAAACGCUAAAUCAACUCCAAGGAAGUAUCACACACAAGCAAGUAAAGACUCUCCAAAUAAUGCUGUACAGACCUCAGAUAGGAAGAAGGGGACACUAGUGGAGACCACAGAAGAAGAUGGUGCAGUGCAGACUGCGAGGAAAUGGAAAGGAAACAAGAAGGAUGUCCAAGAGCAAAGGACAUGCAAGUGGGAAGAGAAUUUCAUCAAGUACAAGUGGGCAGACAGUGCAAAGAAAAAGUAUGUAGGGGGCCAUGUGUCCAUAGCAGGUGGGGUGUACAAGGCUGUACUGGAGGCAGAAGAGAUGGGAGCCCGAGCAUUUGGAUUAUUCCUCAGAUCACAGAGACAGUGGGCCAGUAAGCCUCUCGCUGACGUGGAUGCACAGAAGUUUCGAGAUACGUGCAAAGUACAUGGUUACCAUGCUGACAUGAUUAUCCCCCAUGGGUCCUAUUUGAUGAACUGCGGCUCCCCAGACAGUGAAAACCUUCGCAAGAGUAGGGAUCUCCUGGUGGAGGAACUCCAGAGGUGUGAGAAACUGGGGCUAACAAAAUUCAACUUCCAUCCAGGUUCCACUUGUGGGAAGAUAUCUGUAGAAGAAUGUUUGGACAGGAUUGGAGAGAGCAUCAACCAGGCACUGGUCAAAACAAAAGGGGUUACAGCAGUGAUUGAGAACAUGUGUUGCCAGGGAAACACUGUUGGUGGAAAGUUCGAGGAGCUGAAGGGAAUAAUAAACCGUGUCCAUGACAAAACACGUGUUGGCAUCUGCCUGGAUACCUGUCACAUGUUUGCUGCAGGUUAUAACAUCUCCACAGAGAAGGGAUACCAGGACAUGAUGGAGGGAUUCGACCGCAUCGUGGGUCUGAAAUAUCUGAAAGCCAUACAUUUGAAUGAUAGUAAAGGAGAGGUAGGAAACCAUCUGGAUAGACAUGAAAACAUUGGUAAAGGUCGGAUUGGCAUCGAUGGAUUCCGGCGGAUAAUGAAUGAUCCACGACUGAACAGCAUUCCAAUGAUACUUGAGACUCCCUGUCCUAAUGAUGAUAUCUACGAGAGAGAAGUCCGAAUUCUCUACACCAUGUGUAAAUAAGAACAACAUUUCUGCAAGAGUUGGAAAAUCUGGAGUCUUACACAGAUCUUAGUGGUACCUUAAAGGCGAGACUACGUAAUUAAAGAAACAAACACCCAGGAGAUGAAGAAUUCAUCAUAGCAGACGACCAAAGAGUGUAACAUUUCAUUACAACGCCAUGAUGUCGACUGAACGAAAAUGUGUUCAUGGAACUCCAGCAGACUAUUUGUGUUUGUACCAUAAAGAACCGAUGUGUCCACAGUGCAGAUUUGCUGAACGACACGCAUCCUGUCCAAAAGACACUCUUGGAAUAACGGACGAGUUUCCAGCACCGGGUACCGAAAGAGGAAACUGUUACGAUCGGUGUGUUGAAAAUUAUAGGAGCGCCCGCCAUCUUCAAAUCAAAUGCUGUGAUCUACAGCAAAAGUCACCAACACACCAGAGAGACAGUCUGGAUACACUCUUCAAGGAGUUUAAAUCGAAAGUUAAUAUUUUACAAGAAGAAACAGAAAAAUGCAGUGAUGAAACUAAAACAAAUUGUCUGAGGAAAUAUGCCUCCAUACAAUCUGAUUCUGGUAAUGUUUUAACAGAAGUUGGAAAGCACAUGAAGGCGCUUUGCGAGAACACACAAGAUGUUACGCAUAUUUAUCAUCUAUCUGAGGAGUAUAAGAAAGUUAUAGACGCCAAAAGAAAGGAACUGGAUUCGUGUGACUUAAACUAUUUGUUAACAGUAAACCUCGCUCGAUUGUUUGACCCUGACCGGAUUGUCACGAUCCAACAGGCAAUACUGAGCAGUCAGCUGAUCGACAGCAUUUACCCGCCGGAAGUUCACCCUAAUCUUAAUCUCACUGGAACACUGGACACCAGACAGGGUUCAGAGAAUAAGGCAUAUAUUUCAGGUUGUACUAUACUCAGGGAUGGUGGCAUUGCAUUGGUCGACAGGCUGAACUCUUCAAUUAAACUAUUCGCAGCAAAUGGUUCGUUUAUGGGCUACGUUAAAGUAGACAGUCCUCCGUUUGACAUCACAGAAAGUGACCAAGGUUUCUGUGUGUCGCUACCAGAUAAAUGGCAAAUUCGUAUCAUUGCAAUUGCUACCAGAAAUACCGUGGAACAUAGGGGCGUCAUUACUACAAGGGGUAAGUGUUUUGGGGUUGAAUGCGGGGGACAAAGACUAGUUGUGUCAUGCCAUUUGUCUGGAUACAUGUAUCAGUUUAUAGGGUCUCAGACUUGGCAGUUUUGUGUGUACGGAAACGAUAACAAACUACUGCAAGUCAUUGAAAAAGACAGAUUGGGAAGUUCGUUUUACAUUAGUGAGGGGUACUUUAAUUUCUGCCCAUUCCGAAAUCAGAUCCUGUUUUUAGCCAAUGAUGGAAAAGUCCAACAAUUCCAAAUUACAGGACCAUCAAGCUUAGAGGAUCUUGGACAUCUAGGAUCAACGGGCGGUGAGGACAUAACGGCACUGACUUCCUGUGGAAGUACAAUCAUCACGUGUCACACAAGAUCGGAGUAUUUUUCUUACAAGCGUAAAUCUAUGCUCCGUCUACAGAGUUCUAUUCCGACUGCUACUUGUGAAGCAGACUUUAACAGGGGGUAUUCCGGUCCCAUGUGCUGCGACAUGCGGUCAAAGAUCCUCGUAGUUUGUGAGAGGUACCAACGAUUUAAAGAUAACGGGAAAACUGUGUUUAUUUAUAAUUUCUAACCUUCAAUAGAUAUAUAGACUGUGUUGAGUAACGUAAAUCAACUCUUUAAAAAUGUUUGAUGUAUGUCACAUUCAUGGAUUUUCGCAAGCUUUUAAUAAAUGACGUUCAUAGGCAAAAAAA